rnacentral:ncRNA from 41 species
CAGUGCAAUGUUAAAAGGGCAU